CAAUAGCGUAUAUUUAAGUUGUUGCAGUUAAAAAGCUCGUAGUUGGAUUUCGGGUGGGACGCAGCGGUCUCGCAUUGCGUUUGUACUGCUGCAGCCCUCCUUCUUGCCGGGGGCGGCCUCUCGGACUUCACUGUCUGGGGGUCAGAAUCGGCGAUGUUACUUUGAGUAAAUUAGAGUGUUCAAAGCAAGCUUACGCUCUGAAUAUAAUAGCAUGGGAUAACACGACAGGACUCUGGCCUAUCGUGUUGGUCUAUAGGACCAGAGUAAUGAUUAAGAGGGACAGUCGGGGGCAUUCGUAUUCCGUUGUCAGAGGUGAAAUUCUUGGAUUUAUGAAAGACGAACUUCUGCGAAAGCAUUUGUCAAGGAUGUUUUCAUUA
rnacentral:rRNA from 1 species